CAAACUUUGUAAUGAUUAAAAGUUAGCUUAAGUUAAACUUAGCAUGGUAAUGUUGGUUUUAAAAAAAAUUAAGUUAAUCUAUUUUUUAUUAACCCAGCAAGAAGUAUUAAACUAUAUUAGCAAUAAUAAUUUAAUUCAGCUUAUAAAAUUGGACUAAUUAGGUGCCAGCAGUCGCGGUCAUACCUAUCAGUUAAGUUAACAUUUUUAGGUAAGCUUAAAAGAGAAAUUUUUAUAAUUAGGUGAAAUUACUAUAAAAAAAUAAUCUUAUACUUAAAUUUAAGCUUAAAUUCUAAUAAUAAACUAGGAUUAGAUACCCUAUUAUAUAGAACUAAAAUCUAGUACCUAAGCAUUAAGACUUUAUAGUUAAAACUUAAAUUACAUGGCGGCAGUUAAAAAUUUCAGGGGAACUUGCUAAAUAAAUGAUAACCCCCAAAAAAUUCUACUCUUAUUAUUAAUAUUAGAAGUUUGUAUAUCGCCGUCUUCAGUUCUCAUUUUAGAUGAGCCCAAAACCUUAAAUAUAAAAAAAGACAGGUUAUGAUGCAGCUAAUAUAAGAGUUAUAAAGUGAGUUACAAUAUAAAGUAAAUUUGGAAUUUUUUUGAAAAUAAAAAAAUUAAAGUGGACUUGAAAGUAAACAUCUUAAAUAAAGACUAGUUGAAUUAAAACUUUAACUGUGCACAAAUCGCCCGUCGCUUUCGUUGAAAAAUGAAAUAAGUCGUAACAUAGUAGAUGUACUGGAAAGUGUAUCU
rnacentral:ncRNA from 1 species